rnacentral:rRNA from 1 species
GAUGAACGCUAGCGGCAGGCUUAAUACAUGCAAGUCGUGGGGCAGCAGGGGUAGCAAUACCCGCUGGCGACCGGCAAACGGGUGCGGAACACGUACGCAACCUUCCUUUAACUGGAGAAUAGCCCCUCGAAAGAGGGAUUAAUACUCCGUAACAUGUACAUGUGGCAUCACAAGUACAUUAUAGCUCCGGCGGUUAAAGAUGGGCGUGCGCCUGAUUAGAUAGUUGGCGGGGUAACGGCCCACCAAGUCUGCGAUCAGUAACUGGUGUGAGAGCACGACCAGUCACACGGGCACUGAGACACGGGCCCGACUCCUACGGGAGGCAGCAGUAAGGAAUAUUGGUCAAUGGACGCAAGUCUGAACCAGCCAUGCCGCGUGGAGGA